UUGAAAUAAACCUGAUAGGUUGUUGCUGGCUUCCUAGCAUGUGCACACCUUGUCAUCUUUAUAUCUCCACCUGUGCAUCUUUUGUAGACCUUUCAGGUCUAUGUUGCUUCAUUUACCCCAAUGUAUGUUAAUAGAAUGUUGUGACUAUAUAAAAUCUAUA
rnacentral:misc_RNA from 1 species